rnacentral:rRNA from 1 species
AGAACGAACGCUGGCGGCAGGCUUAACACAUGCAAGUCGAACGCUCGUAGCAAUACGGGAGUGGCAGACGGGUGAGUAACGCGUGGGAACAUACCCUCCGGUUCGGAAUAGCUCAGGGAAACUUGGAUUAAUACCGGAUACGGCUGAGAGGCGAAAGAUUUAUCGCCGGAGGAUUGGCCCGCGUUCGAUUAGCUUGUUGGUGAGGUAACGGCUCACCAAGGCGAUGAUCGAUAGCUGGUCUGAGAGGAUGAUCAGCCACAUUGGGACUGAGACACGGCCCAAACUCCUACGGGAGGCAGCAGUGGGGAAUAUUGGACAAUGGGCGCAAGCCUGAUCCAGCCAUGCCGCGUGAGUGAUGACGGCCUUAGGGUUGUAAAGCUCUUUCGCUCGGGACGAUAAUGACGGUACCGAGAUAAGAGCCCGGCUAACUUCGUGCCAGCAGCCGC